ACGCUGGCGGCAGGCCUAACACAUGCAAGUCGAGCGGUAGAGAGAAGCUUGCUUCUCUUGAGAGCGGCGGACGGGUGAGUAAUGCCUAGGAAUCUGCCUGGUAGUGGGGGAUAACGUUCGGAAACGGACGCUAAUACCGCAUACGUCCUACGGGAGAAAGCAGGGGACCUUCGGGCCUUGCGCUAUCAGAUGAGCCUAGGUCGGAUUAGCUAGUUGGUGGGGUAAUGGCUCACCAAGGCGACGAUCCGUAACUGGUCUGAGAGGAUGAUCAGUCACACUGGAACUGAGACACGGUCCAGACUCCUACGGGAGGCAGCAGUGGGGAAUAUUGGACAAUGGGCGAAAGCCUGAUCCAGCCAUGCCGCGUGUGUGAGGAAGGUCUUCGGAUUGUAAAGCACUUUAAGUUGGGUGGAAGGGUUGUAGAUUAAUACUCUGCAAUUUUGACGUUACCGACAGAAUAAGCACCGGCUAACUCUGUGCCAGCAGCCGCGGUAAUACAGAGGGUGCAAGCGUUAAUCGGAAUUACUGGGCGUAAAGCGCGCGUAGGUGGUUAGUUAAGUUGGAUGUGAAAUCCCCGGGCUCAACCUGGGAACUGCAUUCAAAACUGACUGACUAGAGUAUGGUAGAGGGGUGGUGGAAUUUCCUGUGUAGCGGGUGAAAUGCGUAGAUAUAGGAAGGAACACCAGUGGCGAAGGCGACCACCUGGACUGAUACUGACACUGAGGUGCGAAAGCGUGGGGAGCAAAC
rnacentral:rRNA from 1 species